AUUGAACGCUGGCGGCAGGCCUAACACAUGCAAGUCGAGCGGAUGAAGGGAGCUUGCUCCUGGCUUCAGCGGAGGACGGGUGAGUAAUGCCUAGGAAUCUGCCUGGUAGUGGGGGAUAGCGUCCGGACACGGGCGCUAAUACCGCAUACGUCCUGAGGGAGAAAGUGGGGGAUCUUCGGACCUCCCGCUAUCAGAUGAGCCUAGGUCGGAUUAGCUAGUUGGUGGGGUAAAGGCUUACCAAGGCGACGAUCCGUAACUGGUCUGAGAGGAUGAUCAGGCACACUGGAACUGAGACACGGUCCAGACUCCUACGGGGGGCAGCAGUGGGGAAUAUUGGACAAUGGGCGAAAGCCUGAUCCAGCCAUGCCGCGUGUGUGAAGAAGGUCUUCGGAUUGUAAAGCACUUUAAGUUGGGAAGAAGAGCAGUAAGUUAAUACCUUGCUGUUUUGACGUUACCAACAGAAUAAGCACCGGCUAACUUCGUG
rnacentral:rRNA from 1 species